rnacentral:rRNA from 1 species
AUACGUAGGGGGCAAGCGUUAUCCGGAAUUAUUGGGCGUAAAGAGUGCGUAGGUGGUUACCUAAGCAGGGGGUGAAAGGCACUGGCUUAACCAAUGUCAGCCCCCUGAACUGGGCUACUUGAGUGCAGGAGAGGAAAGUGGAAUUCCUAGUGUAGCAGUGAAAUGCGUAGAUAUUAGGAGGAACACCAGUGGCGAAGGCGACUUUCUGGACUGUUACUGACACUGAGGCACGAAAGUGUGGGGAGCAAACAGGAUUAGAUACCCUGGUAGUCCACACCGUAAACGAUGAGCACUAGGUGUCGGGGGAGCAAUUUCUCGGUGCCGCAGUUAACGCAUUAAGUGCUCCGCCUGGGGAGUACGUACGCAAGUAUGAAACUCAAAUGAAUUGACGGGU